AAAGUGCGGCCAUAGUGGGUGAUAGCCCUGUACGCGAAAAUCUCUUAGUCAUGAAAUCGAGUAGGACGGAGCACGAGAAACUUUGUCUGAAUAUGGGGGGACCAUCCUCCAAGGCUAAAUACUACUGACUGACCGAUAGUGAACCAGUACCGUGAGGGAAAGGCGAAAAGAACCCCGGAGAGGGGAGUGAAAUAGAUCCUGAAACCGUAUGCGUACAAGCAGUGGGAGCCCACUUUGUUGGGUGACUGCGUACCUUUUGUAUAAUGGGUCAGCGACUUAUUUUCAGUGGCGAGCUUAACCGAAUAGGGGAGGCGUAGCGAAAGCGAGUCUUAAUAGGGCGUCUAGUCGCUGGGAAUAGACCCGAAACCGGGCGAUCUAUCCAUGGGCAGGUUGAAGGUUGGGUAACACCAACUGGAGGACCGAACCGACUACCGUUGAAAAGUUAGCGGAUGACCUGUGGAUCGGAGUGAAAGGCUAAUCAAGCUCGGAGAUAGCUGGUUCUCCUCGAAAGCUAUUUAGGUAGCGCCUCAUGUAUCACUGUAGGGGGUAGAGCACUGUUUCGGCUAGGGGGUCAUCCCGACUUACCAAACCGAUGCAAACUCCGAAUACCUACAAGUGCCGAGCAUGGGAGACACACGGCGGGUGCUAACGUCCGUCGUGAAAAGGGAAACAACCCAGACCGUCAGCUAAGGUCCCAAAGUUAUG
rnacentral:ncRNA from 1 species